rnacentral:lncRNA from 1 species
AUCUUGAGGACUCAGUAAAGGCAAACUGCUUUUGGUUUCUCACCAGUUGUUUCGUGAAUCACUUCUUGUGUUUGUUAUCUGAAAUCACAGGGCAGUGAGUGCUGGGGCAUAGGAGCAGCACAGCAGCUAGCCAGUCAUAUCUGUAGCGAAACUGGCUGCGCCGGCGCUGGGCUGAGCUGGGCUGGGCCGGGCAGGCCCCGCCGCUGCUCCUCCCUC